rnacentral:piRNA from 1 species
CAAGAAUUGUAGAGACCUUAAGGC